rnacentral:lncRNA from 1 species
CUCAAAUUCCAGCAGCACUGACUUCACAAAGGAAUUCUGUUCUGAGACUGUGGCCUUUGGGACUUGAAACACAUUUUUUCUCAAAAGGUGUUACAAAGAGUUGUUCAGUAUUCUCUGAUCAGGUCCAGGAAGACCCUAAAGUCAGAGGUACAGCAGAACCAGAGGGCACACACCCGAGCCCUGCAGCCAGGGACAGGUACAGAACAGCUUCCAGCUUCUUGGCAAGAGCAACUACUGGGUCUUCCUGCUCUCCAGCCUGCAGCCAGCCAUCAUGGCCUCUCCUGCCCUGAUCCUGUGAGCCUAUCUAGCCAACCCCCACAUGUACUCCACUGCUCUGACAACUCUAGCCAGGACAGUACCUCUAUCACCCCUACUCACUUUUAGGCCUUCACUUUUCAGACAUUUGUGUUCCUCUUCUCCCAUCUUUCCUUCCUAACCUUUCAUAAACUUUCAAAACAUUGUUUUGACUAAGAAAAAUCCCACACAGCAUAAAAUGUACCAUCCUCACCAUUUUUAAGAGUAUAGUUCAGUUUUGUUAAAUAUAUUCAUGUGAUUGUGUAACUGAUAUCCAGAACUUUUCAUCUUACAAAAUUAAAACUCCUUAAAUGCA